rnacentral:rRNA from 1 species
GACGAACGCUGGCGGCGUGCCUAACACAUGCAAGUCGAACGAGUCCAAUCCUUCGGGAUUGAGGCGAGUGGCGGACGGGUGAGUAACACGUGAGCAAUCUAUCCUGUUGCGGGGGACAACGAGGGGAAACCCUCGCUAAUACCGCAUGGUCGAGAGAAGCGAUGCUUCUUUCGGGAAACGUGGCCUCUUUACAAUGCUACGGUGGCAGGAGGAGCUCGCGGGCUAUCAGCUAGUUGGUGAGGUAACGGCUCACCAAGGCGACGACGGCUACGGGGUCUGAGAGGACGACCCCACACAUUGGAACUGAGACACGGUCCAGACUCCUACGGGAGGCAGCAGUGGGGAAUAUUGGGCAAUGGCCGAAAGGCUGACCCAGCGACGCCGCGUGUGGGAGGAAGCCCUUCGGGGUGUAAACCGACUGUCAGGAGGGACGAAAGAGCUCAUGGUGAAUAAUCAUGGGCAGUGACGGUACCUUCAAAGGAAGCACCGGCUAAACUCUGUGCCG